rnacentral:lncRNA from 1 species
GCAUUAAUAAGCCUGGAGAAUAUCCAGAAGAGGGCAUCUGGGAUGGUGAAAGGCCUUGAAUCUGUGUCAUAUGAAGACCAGUUUAAAGAAAGGAGGCAUGUGGAGAAAAGAAGACAUGAAGGGGGAAUUAAAACUAGUCACUGUGGCCCCCUGCUUCUUUAUGCUAAUUGAUUACAUUCCUUUUAAAAAUUUCAUUAAAGAUUUUAGGGGCAACUAGGUGGCUCAGUGGAUAUACCUCCAGGCCUAGAGAGGAGAGGUCUAGGGUUCAAAUGUGGCUUCUGGCACUUCCUAGCUGUGUGACCCUGGGCAAGUCACAACUCCAAUUGCCUACCCCUUGCAGCUCUUCUGCCUUGGAACUGAUACUUAGUAUUGAUUCCAAGACAAGGUAAGAGUUAAAAUCUUUUUCAUUAAGAUUAUCCAAUAACUUUUUUUUUUUUGGCCAGCAUCUUUUAUCUGGUUUUAAAAUCAAGUUAAGCCUUUUACCUUAAAGAACUCAGCACCCACCUUCUCUUUCCUCCAUAGUUAGCAAUAGACUUAUCUGUUAAUAGGAUUACUUACUUGUUGAAGAUUGUGCAGCAACCUCUGUAAUCCUGCUUUUAUUUGGGGGGGAUAAUCAGCUCAUUGACUCAUCUGCCUUAUUUCUUCCCUUGAAGUGGGUUUUGACAAAGUUUUGGCUGUUCAGUUUGACCACUUGGAUUUUGGAAAAUCUCAUUUUACCUCUUUGCUAGGUCACAAGCAGUCAGCAGUGUUGGUUGAACCUUCUCGUAUCUUGGUUGUGUCUCCCCUUUCUCAUUCUGAGUUUGACUACUCUGUGAUUUUUCUUAUUAAAAUUAAACUGAAAAAUAAAAGUGAUAUACUGGUUGCAAAAAAAAAAAAAAGUAAAUGUCAAAUUCUACAUUUUACUUUCAUUCAAGAGAUGACUAUUAAAUUCCUUCUCUUUCCAUUUUACCCCUGGGUUCCAGGAGAUCUGGACAGAUUUCUAAAAAUAGGAUGUCUAGGUUCUUUUUCUGGUCAUGGGAUUCAGAUAUUCCUUUGA